rnacentral:rRNA from 1 species
CGUAGGGUGCGAGCGUUACUCGGAAUUACUGGGCGUAAAGCGUGCGUAGGUGGUUCGUUAAGUCUGUCGUGAAAGCCCCGGGCUCAACCUGGGAAUGGCGAUGGAUACUGGCGGGCUAGAGUGCGGUAGAGGAGAGUGGAAUUCCCGGUGUAGCAGUGAAAUGCGUAGAGAUCGGGAGGAACAUCAGUUGCGAAGGCGGCUCUCUGGACCAGCACUGACACUGAGGCACGAAAGCGUGGGGAGCAAACAGGAUUAGAUACCCUGGUAGUCCACGCCCUAAACGAUGCGAACUGGACGUUGGGAGCAAUCAGGCUCUCAGUGUCGAAGCUAACGCGUUAAGUUCGCCGCCUGGGGAGUACGGUCGCAAGACUG